GGCACUGGGGCUCAAGUGGUAGAGUAUUUGCCUAACAAGUACAAGGCCCUGGGUUCAAUACCCAGUAUUGCAA
rnacentral:tRNA from 1 species